GAUGAACGCUGGCGGCGUGCCUAAUACAUGCAAGUCGAGCGAACAGAUGAGGAGCUUGCUCCUCUGACGUUAGCGGCGGACGGGUGAGUAACACGUGGAUAACCUACCUAUAAGACUGGGAUAACUUCGGGAAACCGGAGCUAAUACCGGAUAAUAUAUUGAACCGCAUGGUUCAAUAGUGAAAGACGGUUUUGCUGUCACUUAUAGAUGGAUCCGCGCCGCAUUAGCUAGUUGGUAAGGUAACGGCUUACCAAGGCAACGAUGCGUAGCCGACCUGAGAGGGUGAUCGGCCACACUGGAACUGAGACACGGUCCAGACUCCUACGGGAGGCAGCAGUAGGGAAUCUUCCGCAAAGGGCGAAAGCCUGACGGAGCAACGCCGCGUGAGUGAUGAAGGUCUUCGGAUCGUAAAACUCUGUUAUUAGGGAAGAACAAAUGUGUAAGUAACUAUGCACGUCUUGACGGUACCUAACCAGAAAGCCACGGCUAACUACGUG
rnacentral:rRNA from 1 species